rnacentral:sRNA from 1 species
GGACCGGCCGAACCCUGGGUGUGGGACAGGUGCGUGUGUGUGGUGUUUUCCCAAGGGCAGGAAGGUGGCGAAGGGAGGCGAAUCCGAGUGGGUGGAGGGAGGGGAAGGGCGGGAGGAGAAAAAGGUGGGAGGAGGACCAGGUGGGAGGGUGGCGGCUCACUCAGGACCCAGCGGGGGCAGCGCGAUGAGGCGGGUGACCCUGUUCCUGAACGGCAGCCCCAAGAACGGAAAGGUGGUUGCUGUAUAUGGAACUUUAUCUGAUUUGCUUUCUGUGGCCAGCAGUAAACUCGGCAUAAAAGCCACCAGUGUGUAUAAUGGGAAAGGUGGACUGAUUGAUGAUAUUGCUUUGAUCAGGGAUGAUGAUGUUUUGUUUGUUUGUGAAGGAGAGCCAUUUAUUGAUCCUCAGACAGAUUCUAAGCCUCCUGAAGGACUGUUAGGAUUCCACACAGACUGGCUGACAUUAAAUGUUGGAGGGCGGUACUUUACAACUACACGCGUUACUCCUACCAGGUUGUAGCAUGCAUCUUUUUGAGAGAGCAGCUGGGAUCGAGUAUACUCUUGACUUAAAUAUGUUUGUUUAUAAAGACAAAUGGAGAAAUCAAUUUUUUUCCCUGAAUUCUUAGGAGCACUUUAGUGAAUAAAGAACCUGACAGUAUGCUGGCCCACAUGUUUAAGGAC